ACACACCUGUGAAUAGCCACUGCACUCCAGCCUGGGCAACAGAGCAAAACCCUGCCUUUAAAAGAAAUUUACAACUAAAUAAAUUAUACUAAACAGAGGGAAUAAAAUCUCAAAGCUCAUUGUUUCUUAAUUAUUUUAUGACAUUACUGAUAUCUAUGUUCUUGAGGUAAUUGACAUCUCUUAUGUGUCUACAGUGGAAAUUAAAUACUGGAUCAUUGGUGCUUCUGGACCUGUCUUCCCCACUCUGCAUUCAAUGGCAUUAUGUUGGGAACUUGAAACUGGCCAUGAAUUAGCCCUUCUCCAGCCUCACCAUGAGGCAUCUCCAUUCUGACAUCCUGCAUCCCCUCUGCACAGAAAACUGAGCUAAUGCCCUAUGAAAGAGCUGGUGGCAUUUGUAAGGCAGGAUCUGGACCAAACUUGGGAAUCCUGACACUGAUCAGAGCUCUUUCCUUUUUCCUGGUGGUCAUGAUUAAUUAAAUGGCGAACCCCAUAAAGCUGCAGCUGGGGAUGCACAGGAAGUUCUGCUGUGUGGUCAAGAUCAAGGACACUCCUCAGAGACAUGGAGCAGAAUGUUUCAGGCACCCUACAAAUGAAUGUCAUUCCUGGGCAUCUCUACGGGAGGCAACGAUAACUUGGCAACAUAAAUUAGGGACAAAAGUACACUAUAGACUAUUAAGACCUUUUAGCAAUUGAAGACAGAGAGACGGACUUUAUGUAAUAAGUGUUUUAAAGCCCUGUUGUAAAGAAUUGAAAUUUCUCAGCAUAGACUAUCACAUUUCAUAAAGAAAAUAUCAGUGUAUAAUAGAGAACAGGAAGAGUUGUAUAUGUAAACCAUGAAUCAGAACAGAAAAUGUGAAACAGAAUGAAAAUGUGAACUGAACCCUUGGCCACACCUGAUGCAGUUUCGCAGAAUCCACAUGUGGCGGAAUUGGAAGACAAUACCAAAAUCACACAGUACAGUAAAUGCAGUUAGUGUUUAUUUUCAUUGUAUACAACACCUCUGAGGUUCUCAUUCUGUAUGGUGGGCUUGGUCACUUCAAUUUAUCUUUUUGCUUUAUUAUAAAAUUUCAAGUAAAAAAAUGCUUCUGGGUAUCAUCGUAAGUAAACAUCUGAUAAUUAGGCUAAUCUCAAAUAAUAAUUACAGUCAAGAUGCUGGUGCCUGGGAUAGACACCACGUGCCUUUUACUAAGCAGCGGCUUAAGUGAAGUUUUUUCUUGCCUCAGUGGGCUACUCAUUCCAGAAGCACAUUUGUAACUACAGUCACUGGGUUGCACCUAGUUUUUUAUUUUUUUUAAUUUAACAUAAUACGUUACAAUGACUCACAUGUUGUUGCCUAGUUUAAUGAAGAACAAUUUCUUAAAGAACCUUGUGUUCAUAUCUCUCCUUGAAAAAGGAACAAAUGAAGAUCAAGAGAUUGUUUAAAAUGUCAAAUUUUAAAAAGUGUUCUAUGGAGUAAAAGAAGUAAAGAUCAUACUCAGAGAUAGAUACUUCCUUCUUUAGUUUUAUUGUUUCUAAAUUUUGCUUUGUUGAACAAGAUAAUAGAGUUAAAACAACAAGGAGUAUGUUUUAUCUUAACAAAUUUUCCAAGGGGUGAAUAAGUCAGUUAAGAGGCAGCCUCUUUUUCUGUUGUAUUUGUCUUUAAGAAGGACGGCUCAUGGCGCCCAGUUCUGAUAACAGAACCUGGAUAAACACUAUUAAAAUGAACUCUGGUCUUGUCUUGGGCCCCAACUGGCUGGGAUAUUGUCCUGCAUGCUCAGAUGGCAUUCUGAGACCCAGCUGUCCUUCUUGGAUUUUCUUCCAGCCAGAACCUCCAGCAAAAGUUUCUGUGGAGACAUUUCCCUGCAGCUUAGAACAUCUACUAUUUCUCCUGGAGGAGACUCCCACUCCACCAGAAAACCCUUCCCUGGAACAGAGGGCUGGGAGAAAGACAAGCAAUUACUGUUGCUUCCUAUAUUGUUUACUGAACUCUUUAAAAUACAAGAAUCUAUUUUAAGAACAUGGGUCCUUAAUCUGGCUUGCUCACAGAGGUGUGGUAUGUCAUGGGACUACAAGAAGAUGAGAAUUCUACAGCAGUACAGCUGAACUUUUCCAUGAGCUUAGCACCAGGUUUAACCUUACUAUUAUCCACAGGUGAUUCACAGUUGAGGAAACUGAAGCUUAGAGAGUUAAAUAACUUGCUUGAGGUCAUGCAGUAAAUAAAUAGCAGACACAGCACUUGGAUAUAAUCUCUACUGCCUCUUACCACACUGACCCAGGAUAUAUGCUAUUGAGCAAAGCCAUUAUCACAGCCCUUCAUAUCUAGAGGCAAGAAGGCCAGAUAAGGAGAGACCAGGGAAAGAGAAUAGCGGUGGUCCUAUGCCCUCCUUUUAUGACAUUUUUUCUAAGCUCUUGCCCCAUAUCCUAAUCUACUUAUCAUUAAGGAUUUUUGACUCUUGACUUCCCUUAGUCUUUCCCGUCUUCUCAGAAACUGCUCCAGCCUUGACCUAGGGCUUUCUCUUUCUCCCCACUUCUUUCUGCCCUUUGAGUUGUCUCGCUCCCAGGAGAUUUCUUGCCACUGGCCUAGGUCAACAAACAGACUCAUCAGGGUCCUGCCAUAAGCAUGAUUCUGCUCUCCUUAUCCUGAGUUAUACACUGAGGCUCCACAGGCCCUGAUAUUUCUGACAUAAGACAGGUGAGAUCCAAAAUUGGGGCUUAGCCCAGGAGGGCUCUUGACUUUGCCCAAGGAAGAAUUCAAGGGUGAGCUGGUGGUGGUAAACAACGACUCGCAGAGCAAGGCUACCCCAACAGGCUGUGUGCCCAAAGUAGCAGAUCAGAGGCAGUUUUGCACUCACAUUUAUACCCACUUUUAAUUAUAUGCAAAUUAAGGGGCAAUUUAUACAGAAAUUUUUAGGAAAAGGGUGGUAACUUCCUGGUUGUCAGGUCAUUGCCAUGGAAAGGUGCAGUAAUUUCUGAGUGUUGCCAUAGCAGUGGUAAACUGACAUGUUACACUGGUAGGUGUGUCUUAUGGAAAACUGCUUCCACUUCAGCCCUGUUUCAGCUAAUCCUCAACUUGGUCCUGUGUCUGAGCCCUGCUUCCACAGUCAAGUCCCACCUCUUACUUUACUUCCACUGUUUGACAGACUCAUGGUUCUCUAUUUGGGAUCUUAGAUAUUUGGCCCCACUAUUGCCCAGCUCUGCUCUUCCUUGAAUGAUUAAUGUUUGAACAAUUUAUACUGCCACCCAAAGAAUCCGAGGGUUCAAGUUUGACCUUAUGCUAAUAAAAUUUUUAUGCCAAGUAAGUUUCUUUUUUUUUUUUUACAUUUUAGAUUCAAGGGGUGCAGGUAUAGAUUUGUUAUUGUGCAAUGCUGGGGUUUGGACUUCUCCUGAACCCAUCACUCAUAUAGUGAAUAUAAUACCCAAUAGGUAGUUUCCAACCAUUACCCCACUCCCUUGCUCCCCACUCUUGGGGUCCCCAGUGUCUGUCUAUUGUUUCCGUCUUUAUGUCUGUAUGUACGUACCCAUUAUUUAGCUCCCACUUGCAAGUGAGGACAUGUGAUCAUUAAUUUUCUGU